rnacentral:rRNA from 1 species
UACGUAGGUCCCGAGCGUUGUCCGGAUUUAUUGGGCGUAAAGCGAGCGCAGGUGGUUUAUUAAGUCUGGUGUAAAAGGCAGUGGCUCAACCAUUGUUUGCAUUGGAAACUGGUAGACUUGAGUGCAGGAGAGGAGAGUGGAAUUCCAUGUGUAGCGGUGAAAUGCGUAGAUAUAUGGAGGAACACCGGUGGCGAAAGCGGCUCUCUGGCCUGUAACUGACACUGAGGCUCGAAAGCGUGGGGAGCAAACAGG